rnacentral:lncRNA from 1 species
UCGGUGGCGGCUUUUACGUUUGGAUGAGACGGACGCACGUUUUUGGAUUUAAUGUGGGCGAUACCGCCUCUUGUGAUAAUAGGGAUAUAUCUUGUAAUAGGGGUAUUAAUAUAAAUAGGUCUGUGUUAUGAAGAUAAUUGUAGUAAAUGUCAAAUUGUGUAAUUCUUCAUUUUAUGUUUAAUGUAUUUUAUUCCCCUCCUUUAUGUGUAUGAUUUAAUGUAUUUCAUUUCCCUCUUUUAUGUGUAAUAAUAUUAGAAAGUGUAGGUUAUGAUUUCAUGAGCCUAUAAAUAGAGCUCUCAUUUGUAGCAUUCCACACACCCUCAUUUGUAACAUUCGAUACACCUCAAUAAGAAAGUACUUCUCCUCCCGUGUUCUUGUUCUCUUCUUUGUUCUUAGUUCAAUAACACGUUAUCAGC